AUGGAAGGGGACGGCUCAACUGGGGAACUAAAUAUUAAACUUCUUGGUGGUGGUGACAAUCCGGAUACUGGAAGGUCUCGUAAAAGGCCUCGUGAGGAAGAAUCGGGUUCUUCAUCUCAAUCGGCCGAUCACCCAACUUUGGGAGGCAACAGAAUAUCCAACAUAAGUAAUGCCGGUCGCGUCCCUUUUGUGGACUAUGUUAAAGCACAUCGCGGUAGUUUCAUCGUCAAAGUAGGAGUUCAGGACUGUACCUCUACAGUUGUAGGUAGAAAGGAAGAUAGAUAUGAUUUUGCCGACAUCGGUAGGGUACUCGGUAGUAGUUUUCUUAUAGCUUACUUUGACACACACAAAGAGAACUUGACGUGGGGUGGAGAAUUGAUGUUUGAAGAUAUUGAAGUAAGCUAUGGUCGAAUCGUGGUGAAUAGAAAGCCAAGAGUGGCUACGAGUCAAGAUGAUUUUGACAAGGAUAUCCAUGUCCUCGUAUUAAUGUUGACAGGUACAUUCCUUCCAAAGGGGAAGAAUUUACCAUACUUUGAAGGCUUUCUUACAUUUAUCGAGAAGAGCAAAUUUAGAAAUCAUCCAGAACUGCUACCGUACAAGCGGCACCCCUUGGUUUUUAUGUCCCCACUAGAAAGAGCUGCUGCUUUGGAUAAUCUUUUGAAGAUUUAUUUCCGGCUCAAUGGUACUCAGCAGAAGGCUUUCCGGUCAACAUUGGCCAGCAUCGAUUGCCCCAACUGGCCUGCUGCAAAAAGUUACUGCAUUUUUGAACCUCUGGUUACUUAUCAAGUGAACAAGCGUGGCUUCGAUACAUACCUAGAAGAGCACUUUGAUUGUUUACUCAUUUUGCGAAACCAUAAUGAGCACGGCAAAGUGUUGGAAUGGGAAUUGCUUGACUAUGCCUCAGUUGCGUGCUUCGGAGAUUUUGUUCAGGAUUCUUUCUUGGGUCUUAUGCUAAAGGGCUAUGAAGUUCAUAAAGCCCUUGCUUAA
rnacentral:rRNA from 1 species